GGGCGAUUGAUGGAAUUGGUAUACAUGUCAGGCUUAGAACCUGAAUUUUGGGGGUUCGAGUCCCUCAUCGCCUA
rnacentral:tRNA from 1 species